GGUCCUAAGGUAGCGAAAUUCCUUGUCGGGUAAGUUCCGACCCGCACGAAAGGUGUAACGAUUUGGGCACUGUCUCAACCAGAGACUCGGUGAAAUUAUAGUACCUGUGAAGAUGCAGGUUACCCGCGACAGGACGGAAAGACCCCGUGGAGCUUUACUGUAGCCUGAUAUUGAAUUUUGGUACAGUUUGUACAGGAUAGGCGGGAGCCAUUGAAACCGGAGCGCUAGCUUCGGUGGAGGCGCUGGUGGGAUACCGCCCUGACUGUAUUGAAAUUCUAACCUACGGGUCUUAUCGACCCGGGAGACAGUGUCAGGUGGGCAGUUUGACUGGGGCGGUCGCCUCCUAAAGUGUAACGGAGGCGCCCAAAGGUUCCCUCAGAAUGGUUGGAAAUCAUUCGUAGAGUGCAAAGGCAUAAGGGAGCUUGACUGCGAGACCUACAAGUCGAGCAGGGACGAAAGUCGGGCUUAGUGAUCCGGUGGUUCCGCAUGGAAGGGCCAUCGCUCAACGGAUAAAAGCUACCCCGGGGAUAACAGGCUUAUCUCCCCCAAGAGUCCACAUCGACGGGGAGGUUUGGCACCUCGAUGUCGGCUCAUCGCAUCCUGGGGCUGUAGUCGGUCCCAAGGGUUGGGCUGUUCGCCCAUUAAAGCGGUACGCGAGCUGGGUUCAGAACGUCGUGAGACAGUUCGGUCCCUAUCCGUCGUGGGCGUAGGAAAUUUGAGAGGAGCUGUCCUUAGUACGAGAGGACCGGGAUGGACGCACCGCUGGUGUACCAGUUGUUCUGCCAAGGGCAUAGCUGGGUAGCUAUGUGCGGAAGGGAUAAGUGCUGAAA
rnacentral:rRNA from 1 species